AAAAUGGGACAGCAGAAGAAGCAUGAUUGGCUGAAAACUAUGAAAGGAUAAUUGGCUCAAAUAUCAUUAAGAAAGUCCUGCUUGGUGGAUGAUUUGUUGUUGGUGUUUAGUCGUUUAGUCAUGUCCGACUCUUCGUGACCCCAUGGACCAGAGCACGCCAGGCACUCCUGUCUUCCACUGCCUCCCGCAGUUUGGUCAAACUCAUGUUGGUGCCCUCCAUCUUUCCCAACAUCAGGGUCUUUUCCAGGGAGUCUUCUCUUCUCAUGAGGUGGCCAAAGUAUUGGAGCCUCAGCUUCAGGAUCUGUCCUUCCAGUGAGCACUCAGGGCUGAUUUCCUUCAGAAUGGAGAGGUUUGAUCUUCUUGCAGUCCAUGGGACUCUCAAGAGUCUCCUCCAGCACCACAAUACAAAAGCAUAAAUUCUUCGGCGAUCAGCCUUCUUUAUGGUCCAGCUCUCACUUCCAUAUAUCAAUUACUGGGAAAACCAUGGCUUUAACUAUCUGGACCUUGCAAUUGGAAGAGCCAAUCAGAAGCCACUUGUCUGCCGCAUCGGGCAUUCAGCUUCCAAAAAACGUUGGAGAACUGGAACACUUACUUCUGGGUUUUCAAUUUUUGGGAGCUGAAACGUUUGGCAACGGAGAUGAUCGAGAACCAAGGUUUGACUGUACUUGAUAUCUUGGUCAUUUGGGGUGCCUUGGUACAAAAGGCAGGCUACAUAAAUAUUGUAAUUAAUAAACAGAGCAUUUCAGUAGCCAUUUCCCCUCAAAUUGAUUGUGUUUUAUGUAUUUCCAUUAGGGUGAGGAUGGCAACCCUGGCAUUGCAGGAGGACCUGGGCCAAAAGGAACCGCUGGGAGAACGGGUCCUGAAGGUGCUACUGGCCUCAAGGGUACAUUGGGAGACCGUGGUCCUCCUGGACGUAGGGGUAUUAAAGGAGCAAAGGGUGUGGCUUCUUUUUCCCCAUGCGAACUCAUUGCUUAUAUUCGUGAGCACAGCUCUUGUUACCAAGGUAGGCACUUAACAUUAUACUGCAGCUGUUAUGCGGAUUUAUGUGGUACAUUUGUGAAUUUCUCUU
rnacentral:lncRNA from 1 species